rnacentral:rRNA from 1 species
AUACGUAAGUGGCGAGCGUUAUCCGGAAUCACUGGGCGUAAAGCGUUCGUAGGCGGUGUGGCAAGUCGGAUUUGAAAGCCCGGGGCUCAACUCCGGAUCCGGAUCCGAAACUGCCACGCUGGAGCGGAUCAGAGGGCAGUGGAAUUCCCGGUGUAGCGGUAAUAUGCGUAGAUAUCGGGAGGAACACCAGUGGCGAAGGCGGCUGCCUGGGAUCCUGCUGACGCUGAGGAACGAAAGCCAGGGGAGCGAACGGGAUUAGAUACCCCGGUAGUCCUGGCUGUAAACGAUGGGCACUAGGUGUCGGGAGCUUCGACCCUCUCGGCGCCGCCGCUAACGCAUUAAGUGCCCCGCCUGGGGAGUACGACCGCAAGGUUAAA